rnacentral:tRNA from 1 species
GCGAUAGUGGUGCAGUUGGUAGCACACGACCUUGCCAAGGUUGAGCUCGCGGGUUCGAGUCCCGUCUAUCGCUCGA